GACGAACGUUGGCGGCGUGCUUAACACAUGCAAGUCGAACGGAAAGGCCCUGCUUUUGUGGGGUGCUCGAGUGGCGAACGGGUGAGUAACACGUGAGUAGCCUGCCCUUGACUUUGGGAUAACUUCAGGAAACUGGGGCUAAUACCGGAUAGGAGCUCCUGCUGCAUGGUGGGGGUUGGAAAGUUUCGGCGGUUGGGGAUGGACUCGCGGCUUAUCAGCUUGUUGGUGGGGUAGUGGCUUACCAAGGCUUUGACGGGUAGCCGGCCUGAGAGGGUGACCGGCCACAUUGGGACUGAGAUACGGCCCAGACUCCUACGGGAGGCAGCAGUGGGGAAUAUUGCACAAUGGGCGGAAGCCUGAUGCAGCAACGCCGCGUGCGGGAUGACGGCCUUCGGGUUGUAAACCGCUUUCGCCUGUGACGAAGCGUGAGUGACGGUAAUGGGUAAAGAAGCACCGGCUAACUACGUG
rnacentral:rRNA from 1 species